rnacentral:rRNA from 1 species
CUGCUGCCUCCCGUAGGAGUUUGGGCCGUGUCUCAGUCCCAAUGUGGCCGGUCACCCUCUCAGGUCGGCUACUGAUCGUCGCCUUGGUGAGCCGUUACCUCUCCAACUAGCUAAUCAGACGCGGGUCCAUCUCAUACCACCGGAGUUUUUCACACCAAACCAUGCGGUUUUGUGCGCUUAUACGAUUUUAGCAGUCAUUUCUAACUGUUAUCCCCCUGUAUGAGGCAGGUUACCCACGCGUUACUCACCCGUCCGCCACU